UUCAUGGAGAGUUUGAUCCUGGCUCAGGACGAACGCUGGCGGCGUGCCUAAUACAUGCAAGUCGAGCGGACCGACGGGAGCUUGCUCCCUUAGGUCAGCGGCGGACGGGUGAGUAACACGUGGGUAACCUGCCUGUAAGACUGGGAUAACUCCGGGAAACCGGGGCUAAUACCGGAUG
rnacentral:rRNA from 1 species